UGAGCAAUCUGCCCUUCUCUUCGGAAUAAGCGUUGGAAACGACGUCUAAUGCCGAAUACGACCUCCUUUCGCAUGAUCGGAGGUGGAAAGCUCCGGCGGAGAAGGAUGAGCUCGCGGCCUAUCAGCUAGUUGGUGUGGGUAAUGGCCCACCAAGGCGACGACGGGCAGCCGGCCUGAGAGGGUGACCGGCCACACUGGGACUGAGACACGGCCCAGACUCCUACGGGAGCAG
rnacentral:rRNA from 1 species